AUUGAACGCUGGCGGCAGGCUUAACACAUGCAAGUCGAGCGGAGAUGAGGUGCUUGCACCUUAUCUUAGCGGCGGACGGGUGAGUAAUGCUUAGGAAUCUGCCUAUUAGUGGGGGACAACAUUCCGAAAGGAAUGCUAAUACCGCAUACGCCCUACGGGGGAAAGCAGGGGAUCUUCGGACCUUGCGCUAAUAGAUGAGCCUAAGUCGGAUUAGCUAGUUGGUGGGGUAAAGGCCUACCAAGGCGACGAUCUGUAGCGGGUCUGAGAGGAUGAUCCGACACACUGGGACUGAGACACGGCCCAGACUCCUACGGGAGGCAGCAGUGGGGAAUAUUGGACAAUGGGCGGAAGCCUGAUCCAGCCAUGCCGCGUGUGUGAAGAAGGCCUUUUGGUUGUAAGGCACUUUAAGCGAGGAGGAGGCUACCUGGAUUAAUACUCUAGGAUAGUGGACGUUACUCGCAGAAUAAGCACCGGCUAACUCUGUGCCAGCCGCCGCCGUAAAAC
rnacentral:rRNA from 1 species